rnacentral:lncRNA from 1 species
GGGUUCGAAAAAUAAAAGUAUAAACGUGUAAAUAAGCAAACAAAUUUUUUUUCAAGGAAGUAGUAGUAUAUAGUUUAUAGGUACAAAAAGUUAGUUUCGUUACAAGAAAUCCGAAACUAACAUAAGUGAUUACAGUGAAACAAAAAGUUAGCCCUUUAAAAUAUGUCAAAUCAACAAUAGAAUAUUAUGGGAGAUGAUUUUAAUAUUUGAGUUUUGAGUGUUGGGGAAGAACAAGAAAGUGAUUUAGGGAUUUGGAAAGUGAAAAAGUUAUUAGCUUUUAGGAAUGGGAGUAUGGGACCCUUGAAUUUUUUGGGUUUAACACCACAUUUUAACACUUUUUAUUAAAAAAAACAACUAAAAAAC